rnacentral:lncRNA from 1 species
UGGUUUUAAAGUCGCCAGUGGUGGUUUAGGUGGCUUUGGAUGAGAUCACGGGAUAGUCUCGAUGAAGUUCUCCGUUGGAAAGAUUGUAGGCGACGUAGGUGGGUGCGGUGGUUCCGGCUCCGGCAUGAUCCGGCGAAACACGUGUUCGUUUUCGUCUCGUCUGGCAUGAGCCUCGUAGGUUGGGUCGUGGUGAUCGGGUG